rnacentral:tRNA from 1 species
GCCGGGAUAGUCUCAUUAGGUAGAGAGAGGAUUGAAAA